GAUGAACGCUGGCGGCGUGCCUAAUACAUGCAAGUCGAGCGAACGGACGAGAAGCUUGCUUCUCUGAUGUUAGCGGCGGACGGGUGAGUAACACGUGGAUAACCUACCUAUAAGACUGGGAUAACUUCGGGAAACCGGAGCUAAUACCGGAUAAUAUUUUGAACCGCAUGGUUCAAAAGUGAAAGACGGUCUUGCUGUCACUUAUAGAUGGAUCCGCGCUGCAUUAGCUAGUUGGUAAGGUAACGGCUUACCAAGGCAACGAUGCAUAGCCGACCUGAGAGGGUGAUCGGCCACACUGGAACUGAGACACGGUCCAGACUCCUACGGGAGGCAGCAGUAGGGAAUCUUCCGCAAUGGGCGAAAGCCUGACGGAGCAACGCCGCGUGAGUGAUGAAGGUCUUCGGAUCGUAAAACUCUGUUAUUAGGGAAGAACAUAUGUGUAAGUAACUGUGCACAUCUUGACGGUACCUAAUCAGAAAGCCACGGCUAACUACGUGCCAGCAGCCGCGGUAAUACGUAGGUGGCAAGCGUUAUCCGGAAUUAUUGGGCGUAAAGCGCGCGUAGGCGGUUUUUUAAGUCUGAUGUGAAAGCCCACGGCUCAACCGUGGAGGGUCAUUGGAAACUGGAAAACUUGAGUGCAGAAGAUGAAAGUGGAAUUCCAUGUGUAGCGGUGAAAUGCGCAGAGAUAUGGAGGAACACCUGUGGCGAAGGCGACUUUCUGGUCUGUAACUGACGCUGAUGUGCGAAAGCGUGGGGAUCAAACAGGAUUAGAUACCCUGGUAGUCCACGCCGUAAACGAUGAGUGCUAAGUGUUAGGGGGUUUCCGCCCCUUAGUGCUGCAGCUAACGCAUUAAGCACUCCGCCUGGGGAGUACGACCGCAAGGUUGAAACUCAAAGGAAUUGACGGGGACCCGCACAAGCGGUGGAGCAUGUGGUUUAAUUCGAAGCAACGCGAAGAACCUUACCAAAUCUUGACAUCCUUUGACAACUCUAGAGAUAGAGCCUUCCCCUUCGGGGGACAAAGUGACAGGUGGUGCAUGGUUGUCGUCAGCUCGUGUCGUGAGAUGUUGGGUUAAGUCCCGCAACGAGCGCAACCCUUAAGCUUAGUUGCCAUCAUUAAGUUGGGCACUCUAAGUUGACUGCCGGUGACAAACCGGAGGAAGGUGGGGAUGACGUCAAAUCAUCAUGCCCCUUAUGAUUUGGGCUACACACGUGCUACAAUGGACAAUACAAAGGGCAGCGAAACCGCGAGGUCAAGCAAAUCCCAUAAAGUUGUUCUCAGUUCGGAUUGUAGUCUGCAACUCGACUACAUGAAGCUGGAAUCGCUAGUAAUCGUAGAUCAGCAUGCUACGGUGAAUACGUUCCCGGGUCU
rnacentral:rRNA from 1 species